AAAGAAAUAUGUCUAAAAAAGCUUCUAACUUUUUACAAAGCAUUAAUAUGUUUAU
rnacentral:tRNA from 1 species